rnacentral:lncRNA from 1 species
ACCCUGUGUUUCUAUAUGCAGCUUUCAUUGACUUUAGAUCCGCCUUUGAUUCAGUCUCGAGGGAUAUUCUAUGGGCUAAAUUAAGAAGUUCUACCAUUGACAAAUGGCUCUUAUUUUUUAUUAGAGCUCUACAUAAAAAUAUCGUAUUUGCCGGCGUACAAGACAACUGGGCGUAUAAGACGACCCCCCCCAAUAUUUCCACUCAAAAUAUAGAGUGCGAGGAGGAGGAAGAGGAGGAGGAAGAGGGGAAGCAGCUCUCCGGUGGCAAGCGGGCAGCUGGCUCAGCUGCGAGGAGGGCGAGAAGAAGCGGCCGGGCGGGUGGCAGAGGAGGAGGAAGAGGGGAAGUGGCUAUCUGGCGGCGGGCGGGAGAGCAGACAGCUGGCUCAGCUGCGAGGAGGGCGAGAAGGAGGGGAAGCGGCCGGGCGGGCGGCAGCGGAGGAGGAAGAGGAAGAGGGGAAGCGGCUAUCCGGUGGCAGGCUCUGGCCGCUCAGACAUGGCCGGCUCUGCUUCCCUCCCUCUGUCUGGACCAACUGCCUGCCUGCCCGCCUGCCUUCCUCCCCUGCCGGCACGGCCCUGCGUCAUGCACCCGGCAUAUAAGACGACUCCCCCCCUCUUGGAGGCAUGUUUUUGGGGCCAAAAAAGUUGUCCUGUACGCCGGCAAAUACGGUACUACAAUACGAGUUAAAACCAACUCACAAGGCCAUCUUGCAGCUCCUAUUAAGACUAAGAAAGCUGUAAAACAGGGUUAUAUACUGGCUCCCCUGUUAUUCAGCCUUUAUAUAAAUGACCUAGCAACUCAGUUAAAUAAUAGAAGAAGAAUAUAGAUGGAGGAGGAAGAAGAUUAUUGCAAGAGAUCCCAACUACUGUACGGUGGUGGGGAACACAGUUAAUUUGUAUUUGGCUUUAUAUCUUUUAUGUUUAUGUUACCCUUAAAUUCAAAAAAGAAAGAAAUGUCAUGAACCACUGGUUCGACUGUUUGUGCCAGUUUGUUUCUUGGCUGAACAGGUGGUCAGCGAUGGCACCCGGAGGAGGCAGGGCGAGGUAGCCAGAAUGCUCCCUCUGGGUGGGCGCCUGCCAGAGGAGGUGGAGUGGAGAAACAUUGAACACCUGUUUGGCCAAGAAACCAAUUGGCACUCCAUGCCCAUCUCUAGUGCUAACAUUGUUAAGCAAAAAACUGAAGGAAAACUAA